CUCUAAGCGACACCACAUAAAGGGCUUAUAUGAAACAAUAUUAAAUAUUGAAUAUUCGGGAGGUAGAAUUGUCCCAGGGAUAUUCAUAAAACAUAAUCAUAGGGGUUAGUCCACAGUAAAAUAAUAAUAUGAUCAUCCACCAUAUUUCAUGAUUAGUCUCACGAUUUCGUUAACUUCCUCCGAAGAUCGACACUUGACUAGUCAGCCAGUCGUCCUUGAUCGUGGACACGCCUACUUGAAUAGUUUUGACUCUGCACAAGGUGUGCUCUUUACCCACAACCCACGGGUUUCAAUAGUCACUCGGACUAAUCCUGCGUACGGUAUCUCAUAAGUAAACACUCAGAACCAAUACACACCCAU
rnacentral:lncRNA from 1 species